rnacentral:rRNA from 1 species
GAGUUUGAUCAUGGCUCAGGAUGAACGCUAGCGGCAGGCCUAACACAUGCAAGUCGAACGGUAACAUAGAUUGCUUGCAAUCUGAUGACGAGUGGCGCACGGGUGCGUAACGCGUAUGCAAUCUACCUUUUACAGGAGAAUAGCCCAGAGAAAUUUGGAAUAAUGCUCCAUAAUAUCAUUUAUCAGCAUUGAUUUAUGAUUAAAGUUCCGGCGGUAGAAGAUGAGCAUGCGUUCUAUUAGCUAGUAGGUGAGGUAACGGCUCACCUAGGCAACGAUAGAUAGGGGCCCUGAGAGGGGGAUCCCCCACACUGGUACUGAGACACGGACCAGACUCCUACGGGAGGCAGCAGUGAGGAAUAUUGGACAAUGGAGGAAACUCUGAUCCAGCCAUGCCGCGUGCAGGAUGACUGCCCUAUGGGUUGUAAACUGCUUUUAUAUAGGAAGAAACACUCUCACGUGUGGGGGCUUGACGGUACUAUAUGAAUAAGGAUCGGCUAACUCCGUGCCAGCAGCCGCGGUAAUACGGAGGAUCCAAGCGUUAUCCGGAAUCAUUGGGUUUAAAGGGUCCGCAGGCGGCCUGUUAAGUCAGAGGUGAAAUCCUACAGCUCAACUGUAGAAUUGCCUUUGAUACUGAUAGGCUUGAGUUAUUGUGAAGUGGUUAGAAUGUGUGGUGUAGCGGUGAAAUGCUUAGAUAUCACACAGAACACCCAUUGCGAAGGCAGAUCACUAACAAUAUACUGACGCUCAUGGACGAAAGCGUGGGGAGCGAACGGGAUUAGAUACCCCGGUAGUCCACGCCGUAAACGAUGGAUACUAACUGUUCGACCUUCGGGUUGAGUGUCAAGCGAAAGUGAUAAGUAUCC